UACGUAGGGGGCUAGCGUUGUCCGGAUUUAUUGGGCGUAAAGAGCGUGUAGGCGGCCAGGUAGGUCUGGUGUGAAGACUCGAGGCUUAACCUCGAGAUGUCAUCGGAAACCAUCUGGCUAGAGUCCGGAAGAGGAGAGUGGAAUUCCUGGUGUAGCGGUGAAAUGCGCAGAUAUCAGGAAGAACACCAAUGGCGAAAGCAGCUCUCUGGGACGGUACUGACGCUGAGACGCGAAAGCGUGGGGAGCGAACAGG
rnacentral:rRNA from 1 species